AGAUAUGUGGAAGAGAAACAAAGCCAGGAUUACUUUUGCAGAAUAGACAAAUGAAAGAUGAAGACAGUUAUGAAGACUAAGACUGCCUUUUACAUCACUCAAACUGGUUGGUGUCAUAUUUGCGGAACUUCCCAGUACUCAUGAUCCACUUACGCAGAAUAUAGAAAAGACGUUUUGUGAUUUCUUAAAUACAUUUCAAGCGCAUUUUUAAGUGAUUGUCCGUAUGAUAUUUAAGGAGCUAUGUCUGAUUUUCUCAGGUACAUGGGAAUAACUAGGCACGCAGUUUCUUCUGCACGUUAUUAUUUACGAAUGUACAAAAAAUAGUGUGUUUCACUGCAAGCUGAUAAUAAAGGACUCCUUUGGAAGAAAGCUAGA